rnacentral:rRNA from 1 species
UACGUAGGGACCAAGCGUUGUCCGGAAUCAUUGGGCGUAAAGCGUGCGUAGGCGGCUGCGCAAGUCGGUUGUGAAACCCCGGGGCUCAACCCCGGAACUGCAUCCGAUACUGCGUGGCUAGAGGUAGGUAGGGGAGAUCGGAAUUCCUGGUGUAGCGGUGAAAUGCGCAGAUAUCAGGAGGAACACCGGUGGCGAAGGCGGAUCUCUGGGCCUUACCUGACGCUCAGGCACGAAAGCUAGGGGAGCGAACAGG